rnacentral:misc_RNA from 1 species
GCGGAGGGAUCAUUUACCGAGUUUACAACUCCCAAACCCCCUGUGAACAUACCACUUGUUGCCUCGGCGGAUCAGCCCGCUCCCGGUAAAACGGGACGGCCCGCCAGAGGACCCCUAAACUCUGUUUCUAUAUGUAACUUCUGAGUAAAACCAUAAAUAAAUCAAAACUUUCAACAACGGAUCUCUUGGUUCUGGCAUCGAUGAAGAACGCAGCAAAAUGCGAUAAGUAAUGUGAAUUGCAGAAUUCAGUGAAUCAUCGAAUCUUUGAACGCACAUUGCGCCCGCCAGUAUUCUGGCGGGCAUGCCUGUUCGAGCGUCAUUUCAACCCUCAAGCACAGCUUGGUGUUGGGACUCGCGUUAAUUCGCGUUCCCCAAAUUGAUUGGCGGUCACGUCGAGCUUCCAUAGCGUAGUAGUAAAACCCUCGUUACUGGUAAUCGUCGCGGCCACGCCGUUAAACCCCAACUUCUGAAUGUUGACCUCGGAUCAGGUAGGAAUACCCGCUGAACUU